rnacentral:lncRNA from 1 species
UUCCUGCACCUGGGACGGGGCAACCCUCGCAGUACGCACAGACUGGGGGACGAGACGCUGGAGAGCAGCCCCACAGAGAGGGAUCCGGGGGUUGUGUUUGACAGCAAGUUGAAUAUGAGCCAGCAGUGUGCCCUGGCAGCCAGGAGGGCCAAUACCCUGGGGAGCAUCAAGCACGGCAUCGCCAGUCAGUCGAGGGAGGUGAUGGUGCCUGUGGAUAGUUAGGGUCUGGCGGCCGGAAGAUGUCGCGAUGUACGGAAAGGUGGAGCCCCUCCCUUGAUGGACAGUAGCGUGUGGUCUGUGAUGUAAGCAAGUGAAGUGACGCUAUGGGCCUCGGGUAUAUAAGCCCAUGUGACUCGACAAUAAACGCCAUUUGCCAUCCACCACAUUGGUGUCUGUGAGCCGAUGGACCGAGCGGCCUGGGGUUGGCCGCCGUGCCGUUCCUGAACCAGGUCGCCACUGCCCCCUGAAGGCAACAGGUGGUGCCGAAACCCGGGAAAACUCCUGGAUUCGGGUGAACGGCGGCCGGAGCGGCGGGACCAGCCCGGCGGGACCAGCCCGGUGGGGAGGACGCUCCCGGACCAACAAGGAAGAUGGAAACCCUUGUGAAGGAACGGAUCAUCGGGCACCCCCGUAAUCUGUAUACCCCGGUGACAUGAGAAGACAGUAAGUCAGCAAGCGUCCUGUCUAAGCCUGAGAGUUCCACACUGGCAGAAUCCAGACAACAGCGAAGCGGCCUCUGUGGGUGGGGGGCUGCGAUGCCUUUGUGUGAUCUUAUCUUUGGACCUUGUAUACUAAAUAAGCUUGUGUUGUUUGUUAAAAGUUGGUUAGAGAAAGUUAACAUUAUGUUGGUAGAACACCAACAACUACUUUAAGAGUGUAUUUACUCAGGGUUACCAGUUACCUCCUGGUUAUUGUGCCUUAUGUUUCUUAUUUAAGUUAUGAUGUCUAUGUCUUGAGAUUGUUAUAUUUCAGCUAAUUUGGUUGUGCAUAGGGAGGGGGGAAAUGUGGAUAGUUAGGGUCUGGCGGCCGGAAGAUGUGGCGCUGUACGGAAAGGUGGAGCCCCUCCCUUGAUGGACAGUAGCGUGUGGUCUGUGAUGUAAGCAAGUGAAGUGACGCUAUGGGCCUCGGGUAUAUAAGCCCAUGUGACUCGACAAUAAACGCCAUUUGCCAUCCA